AUGCACCAGUGCAGAAAGAGGAGUGGAGAGAAGCUGGCUCGAGAGGGUGGAUGUCUUUACAAGGAGGUCUCUACAAAUGGCAGGCCUAACUCACUCUUGCACUCAGCCAGCAGACACGAUUGCUUCAAGCAUUUGGUCAUGAGUUGGGGAAACUUCCUUGAACAAUAGAGAAGCACUGCGAUGCUUGGCCAGUGUUAUUCUGGGACAUCAUUGCUUCCAUUACUGAGCUUCUGAAUGGUGGUUAUGUCCCUCUUCCUAGAGCCUUCUCCAUGGUAUUGGUAAGUAAAGUGAUGCCAUGACCCUGACAAGGGACACAGGUGGGCUUUUCAAUCUGAUAAACUAGACAUCACUCUGGCAUAACCACAUUCUCGAGUUUUUUGUUCUCUUCCCCUACAACCUACACUGCCAGUACUGGUAUGUCUAAUUUAUUUAAUGUUGACCUUUGCAUUUUGAAGAUUCAGGUUUAUUGAGGUAUAAUUUACAUGUACUAAAAUAUGCCUAUUUAAGGUAUUUAUUUCUAUAAAUUUUGACAGUUAUAGUUGUGUAAUCACCAACACAAUCAGAUGUAGAACACUGUCAUCACUUCCAAAAAGUUCCAUUAAUUCGUAGAUUGCAUAGAAUUUAUAUCAUAGAUUGUAACUGAAUUUUAAUUUAUACAUUUAAAGUUCUUUUUAAAAAUUUUUGGUAGUUUUGACAGGAGGAAAAAGGUUGCUGGAUUUCAUUUGUUAAAUAAAUCUUUUAUUUGUAUAAGAAACCCA
rnacentral:lncRNA from 1 species